rnacentral:rRNA from 1 species
GAUGAACGCUGGCGGCGUGCCUAAUACAUGCAAGUCGAGCGAACAGACGAGGAGCUUGCUCCUCUGACGUUAGCGGCGGACGGGUGAGUAACACGUGGAUAACCUACCUAUAAGACCGGGAUAACUUCGGGAAACCGGAGCUAAUACCGGAUAAUAUAUUGAACCGCAUGGUUCAAUAGUGAAAGACGGUUUUGCUGUCGCUUAUGGAUGGAUCCGCGCCGCAUUAGCUAGUUGGUAAGGUAACGGCUUACCAAGGCAACGAUGCGUAGCCGACCUGAGAGGGUGAUCGGCCACACUGGAACUGAGACACGGUCCAGACUCCUACGGGAGGCAGCAGUAGGGAAUCUUCCGCAAUGGGCGAAAGCCUGACGGAGCAACGCCGCGUGAGUGAUGAAGGUCUUCGGAUCGUAAAACUCUGUUAUUAGGGAAGAACAAAUGUGUAAGUAACUAUGCACGUCUUGACGGUACCUAAUCAGAAAGCCACGGCUAACUACGUG